ACAAAUAGAAAUAAAAUACUUAAUUUAAUGUAAAAUAUCCUAAUUAAAGGUAUCCAUAAUGACACUUGUUUCAAAAUGUUGGAAAGAAGACUGGCUUUGUUAAAAAUAACUCUGAAAACCUCUCUCUUUGACAAGAUCAAUUUCUCUGUCCUACAAGCUCUGCAGAGACUGUAAUGGACAUAUUUACCACAGUAACCAUUUCCUUCUAGCUCCAUGAAAGAGAGAGGGAAGUACAGGUUUCUUUUUUGUACAUGAGAUGUCUACAGUUUCUACCACUUUUAAUCACUUUUCUAUUCUUACAUACCUGUGGCAUCUCUAAUGGUAGUUUUCCUAGAAAAGUGUUAUUACCAUCUUAAUCAUAACACUUAAAUAAUACUAAAAAGUGCACAGUGAAACCUUUGGAGAGUGAGGAGGAUUCAAUUCAGGACUUGUACAUAUGGGCUCAUUCUGAGGAAAAAAUAAUUUUCUAUUCACAACGCAGUAUUUUGUGUUUGUAAUUACAGAACAUGAGAGACAUUCGUAAAUGAAUUUUGAUGCCCCUAUUUUUACUACAAUUUCAGUAGCCUGGUGAAAAUGAAUGUUAAUCACGGCUGACAAGGUUUUUUGAUAUUUGUGCCUUUUUGCUCAAAAAGUGGACCGAGACACCACAGGUGCAACUAGGUGCCUACUGCACAAAUUGGCUGGUAUCCCUAGAGAUACAUAUCUUUCAGUGACCAGGAAAGAAGGGAAAGGAGAGCAGAAACCAGUGGCCUGAAGUCAUACAGAAGGAAAUAUUUUCUUGGAGAGGAGACCAAGACUCAGUCUUCACUACCGUCAGUGAAAACAACUUCAGCAGGAAGAGGUAUAGUCAGAACUGGCAAUAAGCUCUCAGGAGCAGCUAAACAUCCAGGACCUUGUUCUUCCUGCAACUCAGACACCCUGCAAAGCCAGAGCCACUCCUGCUUUACUCAGAUUUUCUAUUCACUAGGGAAAUAUUCAAUUAGGAAACUCCUAUGGAGCAGAGGGGGAACCCAGCAGGCGAGGAGUCAAAAUUUCUGCAAUCAGCACUGAUAAAGGACUGUUAUUUUGACAAAUGGGAUAAAAAUAAAAAGCAUAAAAGGCUGCAGCAGGAGGCCUGAAACAGACACUGAGCACUCUCCUUACUCAGCGAGGAUGUGUUUGCCAUGAGCAUGUAGGAUGGCAAACAGGCUGCCCAAAGCUGUUUCCUGUGGCUCAUUGAAGCAUGAUAACUGGGGAAGCACAUUUCUGGAAUGUUAUAAAGCCACACUCAGCAAGAUCAUCACUUUGCAGCACUGGCCCUGCAACAUGUAAACCUAGUAACAUCUGCCACAGAAGAGGAAUUGUACAUGCCCUCAGAGUUUUUAUAAACCAACUCAGACUAACCCUGUAUACAUACAGAGAGCAAUGGAGAAAAGCCAGGAGGGUGGAUGUAGUGAGCUACAUCUGAGACAUUUGCAGCUAUUAGCAUGCUGAAGUAAAUUGGAUUAAUUUCUCAGCCAUAAAUUCUCAAAAGUUGAGUCCGGAUAAUUAAAUAAAAUGCAGUCCCAUCUUUACCCAUUUUUUUUAGGAAGGCCAUAUACUUCUAAUGCUUAGGACAUCAGAGAAUCCUAUAGCUGCAUUUCUUGCUUCACUUGUGCUGUGCUGUGAUGUCUGAUAAACCUAUUCAGCUCUCAUUGUUGAGGUUUGUUAUCUGUGAAGCAGGAUUAAAAUACUUGCUACCA